rnacentral:rRNA from 1 species
UACGGAGGGGGCUAGCGUUGUUCGGAAUUACUGGGCGUAAAGCGUACGUAGGCGGCUUUGUAAGUUAGAGGUGAAAGCCUGGUGCUCAACACCAGAACUGCCUUUAAGACUGCAUCGCUUGAACGUCGGAGAGGUGAGUGGAAUUCCGAGUGUAGAGGUGAAAUUCGUAGAUAUUCGGAAGAACACCAGUGGCGAAGGCGGCUCACUGGACGACUGUUGACGCUGAGGUACGAAAGCGUGGGGAGCAACAGGAUUAGAAACCUUG